rnacentral:rRNA from 1 species
UACGGGGGGAGCAAGCGUUGUUCGGAUUUACUGGGCGUAAAGGGCGCGUAGGCGGGUUGGUAAGUCCGUGGUGAAAUCUCCGAGCUUAACUCGGAAACUGCCGUGGAUACUAUCAAUCUUGAAUAUCGUGGAGGUAAGCGGAAUAUGUCAUGUAGCGGUGAAAUGCUUAGAUAUGACAUAGAACACCAAUUGCGUAGGCAGCUUACUACACGAUCAUUGACGCUGAGGCACGAAAGCGUGGGGAGCAAACAGG